rnacentral:rRNA from 1 species
CUACGGGGGGCUGCAGUGAGGAAUAUUGCACAAUGGGGGGAACCCUGAUGCAGCAACGCCGCGUGGAGGAUGAUACAUUUCGGUGCGUAAACUCCUUUUAUAUAAGAAGAUAAUGACGGUAUUAUAUGAAUAAGCACCGGCUAACUCCGUGCCAGCAGCCGCGGUAAUACGGGGGGUGCAAGCGUUACUCGGAAUCACCGGGCGUAAAGAGCAUGUAGGCGGGUAGAAAAGUUGGAAGUGAAAUCCUAUGGCUUAACCAUAGAACUGCUUCCAAAACUCUUUACCUAGAAUAUGGGAGAGGUAGAUGGAAUUUCUGGUGUAGGGGUAAAAUCCGUAGAGAUCAGAAGGAAUACCGAUUGCGAAGGCGAUCUACUGGAACAUUAUUGACGCUCAGAUGCGAAAGCGUGGGGAGCAAACAGGAUUAGAUACCCCAGUAGUC